CGACGACCAUCAGCCUCAUGCUCCUGCUGCUGUGUCUUCUUCAUCCUAAUAUGUCGUAUCCCAGAUGCUCAGCCAGAAUAAACAACACACUCCUUAAGCUGGUUUAUUUUACUUCCCGGCUGGCCCUCUGAAGGAUUUUCUUGUCCUCGCCACUCAGGAGUAUAGUAGUGUCCCGGUAGCUGCUGACUUCUGAGACCAAUUGGAAAUUGCUUGGAAUGAAGAGUGGUUGGCCUUCAGAGAUCCUACACUCCCCGUCAUUUCAUUGGGAUUUGGAAAGAAGAGGCCAAGCCUGCUCCUCUGAAGGAACCUACCUGAAGUUUAGGUGGAUAUAUACUGCAGAGUACCUUCCACAUUCUUUCUGAAGCUUCAGAGCUGUGGCAUGGAAGCUUUCUAGGAUAUGGAAGUUUGGUUUGUAUCAGGAAGAAAAUAGAUGUGAUAUACAUGUUUGAAUACUUCAUGAAUAUUAAUGAUAGUGCAUGAAAAU